rnacentral:lncRNA from 1 species
UUCUGUUGCAAAACAAUUGGUCGUGGAUUCGGAGGAUUUCUUUGGCCAUGGUUGGUGAAGAAACUACUACAGUGGUUAUCUGGCCAAGCUUCAAAGACAUAAUGGAGCCAUAGUGUUGUGAGAGGUUGGUCAAAGAGAUAUGAGGUUUGUCUCCAAGAUCAAAGAGAUUUCCAACCAAUGGAAAUGGCUUUGGUCCUAGUGGAAGCCUAACUCUGGUUCUUCUAUGGUGGGCUUGGAUUAAGAAGCAGGAGAUUAAACACAGACACAACAGUAUACCAGACAAGAAGUCCAUCUUUCACUAACAAAUUAGCUUCAAUCACAAGUCCAACUCCAACUCUCCUUGAGCUUAACUUAUGGGGAUGAGUUGAGCUAGAUUAUGAAUUAUUGGCCAUCUAUAUAUUCACAUGUGGUAUAGAUUUCAAUGGUGAAGUUACUCUUUAUAGCAACAUUAUAGGACUUUCUCAAUUUCGUAUCUGAGGGCAUAUCUGAGACGUCCGAGCAUAUCCAGGUGUAUCCAAGUGUAUAAAGGACGAUUGAAGUUGAGUGAUAUAGAUUUGAAAGGUAUCAUCAGUUCAUUUUCCAAAGCCAGAAAUAUGUGGACACCUCUGUUUUAAAUGGUCUAGGAAAGAGCCAUCACUUUUCUCUGCUUCAAUAUUUAUUGUUUAACGAAAUGUGAUCAUCUUAAUAAUCUAAUUUUGUGUUUGUCAAAUGAUGUGUUCUAUUCAAACCACAUAUUUGCUCAAAAUAAUGAUGCAAUGGUCACCUAUCUUCGACGGAAGCAAUGGCCUCCUAUCUUUGACGGAAGUAAUGGCCUCAUUAUCAAUACUCAAUAAUUCAGAUUGGUGCCUUGUACCACAAGCAACCUAACAGUGAGCAUAAGUCCUGGAUAUCAAACAUCCAUUUUACUUCUUUUUACUUCAAUUCAUCAUUUUGGGGAGUAGUUUCGGCUAAUUAAUGACUCUUGACUUGUUGAGCCUGCGUGCAGUUUGUUAGCUAGGGUCGAACUCUUAUCUCAUAGCUUUGCCUGCAAGCCUUGCAUUCCCUUGCAGGAAAAGGAAAAUCUGCCAUAAUCGAAAUACGGAUGAAGGCGUUCCGAGUAGGGAAAGAAAAGCACCCGGUACUUGUAGUCUAUGACUGAGAUGUUAAGGAUAAAGAUAUAAUUACCUCCUCAUGGUCUUGGUGUAAAUAGCAGGCCUUUCUUUCGAACUCUGUAAUACAAGCUCUUUCUCUCAAUCUCUUUGUUUUUCUUAAUCAGCUUUCAUGGUAUCAAGAGCCUUGGUUUCGUUCUUGGAGCAUUGAAGGCCUUCUCUCUCAUUUUUCUUCUGCGCGUUUUAGUUUUCUUAGUAUCAGAAAUUCAGAAUUGUUUUUCCCAAUUUCAAAACCCUAACCCCAAUUUCAGUUUCAAUUUCGAAGCAUUCUCUUCUCCUCGGUCUGUCACCGGCACGUCCCGAUUCGUCACCGUCCUUCCUUGACUCGUUCUCCUUUCUCCGAUUUGGUCGCCGACCUCGACUUGCUACAAUGUUCGAUCGGGUUUGGGAUUGGAAAUUGGCUCAUCAGAGAUUGCUUUGAGUUUCAAAUUUAGAUAAGUUCACCUUUGUUGAGAAGGAUAAAUUUUGGUUUUCUAUCAAGAUUGUUGAUAGUUGUGGAUUUGAAGCCUUGGAUUUGUGAUUAGAGUAUACUACAUGCAUAUUCAGUUAGUUCUUUGUCUGCAAAUUCAGAUAAGUUCUUCCUCAAAAUUGAUCAGAUUGAGUACAAAUUGAUGAAAGAUUGGUUCAAUAUCAGAAUUGGGUAGUAAAUUUUUCAGUUGGUUAUUCCUGGAAACAUUGGAAAGUAAGUGAUACUUUUUAUGAUUGAUAUUUGAUUUGAUAUUAGCAAGACUAUCAUUGGUUCUGAGUUCUAUUUGUUGAAGAUUUAUGCUCCGUCAGACUUCUAUUCUAGCAUUGUUUAGGUGAAGAUAAAUUGGUGGCAUUUGGGGUUUGUUCAGAUAAUUGGUGUUAUUGGGAAGCUUUCAUUGUGAGUUAUGAGUAAGAACUUGGAGCUACAGAAUUGCUUACUCGUCAACUUCAAAAAUUUUAUUUCAAUCCAGUUAGACGACUCUAACUAUGUUACCUGGAAAUUUCUUGUAGAGACACUAUUAACAGGUUGUGGCCUAAUGAGAUAUGUUGAUGGGUCAUUCCCUUGUCCCCUAGAAUAUAAGACUUUGGAAGAAAAUGGGGUUGCAUUUCAUGCGUACAUGAGUUGGGUGCAGAAUGAUUGUACUGCUAUGUCUUUACUUGCUGCUACCUUGUCCAGUAAUGCUCUCUCCUUCAUUGUUGGAAGUAAGACUUCUAAAGAGAUUUGGUGCCAACUUAAGGAGAAAUAUGUUGAUACUUCACGGUAUAACAUAAUGAAGCUCAAAUCCUCAUUGUACAACAUCCAGAUUGGUUCAGACUCUAUUGACAAGUACUUACUCCGAGUCAAGGAAAUUUGUGAUCAGCUUGCUACUUUAGGAGUUUCUAUGGAUGAUGAAGAAAUAAUAGUCUCAGUGCUUAAUGGUUUGCCAUCAGCGUUUGCUGCGAUCAAAACCAUAAUAAGGAUUAAAAGUCUGAGCUCCCCUGUUUCAAUGGUAGAAUUAAGAUCUCUUUUGUUGAUUGGUGAAGAUGAGAUUGCUCAAACAAUGAAGUCUGUUUCUAUGUCUUUGGAGACUGCUAUGGCUGCAUGUGGUGAUACUUCCAGAGGUACUGUUCAUUCUCAUUCUUUGGAUAAUAGCAGUUUACCUAAUUCGGAAAUGGUUAGCUCAUCUUCUACAUCUGCUGUUAUUAUUUCAAACACUAAUGCUCUUACCAGCAACUAUUCAAAACCUGUUACUCAAUUUGGUUAUGUGUCUCAACCAAAUGUUAUAUCUACCACUCCGGGUGUAUAUGAUGUUAUAUGAUGUUAUAUCUUCUAUAUCUACCAAAUGUUAUCUGCUUGCCCUACUAGAUACAUUAUGCACUUAAUGCCUAGUACUGAGUAUAUGAUGUCUUCUGGUGGUUAUUCUCCUUCUAACAAUGGUUUGGUUCAGUCACAAGUCAACACAAGAUGUAUUCGACCCAAGGGUAGUAUUCGAUACAAUGGAGGAUUUGUUGGGUCUCAUGGUUUUAUGCAACAAGGUAUUGAUAAGUAUUGGCAAAGCAAUAAUUACUGUGGUCAAAAUAAGAACAAUGGUAUCUAUGGACAGGGAUUCAAGCUCAGUUCAGAUGGUAGCAGGGCUGUUUCUCUUGUGCAUAAUAAUCAAGGUACUCAAGCAAGGUCUAGCGACUCUCAAAGCGUGUGUUCUUCUGCAGAUAUUUGUCAUAUAUGCAAUCAAUUCGGCCAUUUUGCAGGAACUUGUCCUCAAAGACCUGCUUCUCGACAAGUUGUUGCAUCUGGAUCUUAUAUGCGAUGUCAAAUUUGUUUGAAGACUGGUCACAGUGCAGCAGAAUGUUUGCAUAAGCAGCAUUAUGAUUUUUUACCACUAACUCAAGAAGAGCAUCAAGCUAUGAAUGCUUCCUUCUUCUCUCAAUCAACGGCAACAUCCAUUCCUACUGAAUCUACUUUUGUGUCCAGCAACUCUUCAUCUUCCAUUGAGAUUUCAAAUGGUAAUGCUUCUUGUUCUGCCACUUCAGUUUCCUCUGAGAGAUCAGAAUGGCAACAUGAAUGCCUCAAGCAACUUGCAGCUUUAUCAAUUCAAGGCACUAAGCAGUUCAUGUCUACUCCUUUGAAUAAAACUACACUAUUAUAGGCAGACCUCUCAUCCUUCAAGGCUAUGUCACUCACUGUCAUUGAUUUCUCCUGGUUGAUUUACAUAGCAAUCUGAUGUUAGUUGUCCCUCCCAUCCGCUUGAAAAGGGGGGGGGUUUGUUAAGGAUAAAGAUGUAAUUACCUCCGCAUGGUCUUGGUAUAAAUAGCAGGCCUUUCUUUCGUGUAAGAGAUUAGAACCCUAACUCUGUAAUACAAGCUCUUUCUCUCAAUCUCUUUGCUUUUCUUAAUCAGCUUUCAUGAGAGACAUACAUUCUGAUGGAAUGCUGUAAAAGUAAUUAUCAGAGCUUCUUGCAAGUUGCAAAUAAUAAAAAUCACUAAACCUUUAUUUAUUUUAUAACGAAAUAAAUACAAGGGGAAACAGAAUAGAGAGGAACUGUCUCCAAAGGCAGCCUGCACCAGGUUGAUAAAAUUACAUUUUUUUUUUUUUGGCUGAAAGAUGAGUGAGAGAGAGGAAUGAUCCCCUAACAUUUUUAUGCAUUAAAAAAGAAAAGAAGAGAGAAACAUCAAAAUUAGACCAAAAUCUCUCGCAACAAAAUAACAACGAAACAAAACUGGAAAACCGAAAUCGGAUAAAAUUACAUGAUUCAGCCUACAGUUAUUUAACAUCAUUCCAUUACAAUUUCCUUUGGAACAGCUUUGAGAGGCUGAGCCAUUUCUAAAGAGACGGCAAACUUGUCUUCCAAGUUCAUAGUCUCAGGUACAACUCCAUCUUCAAGCUUCCAAUCAAAGCAGUUGAUGAGUGAACCCAGCAUCAAGUGCAACAUUCUCAUUGCCAAUGGCAAACCUGGACAAAUUCUCCUCCCACCGCCAAACGGAAGAAGCUCAAAGUUUUGUCCCAUCACAUCAAUUUGGUUGUCUGAUCCUAAGAACCUCUCUGGCAUAAAAGAGUUUGGAUUGUCCCAACUGCUGGGGUCUCUGCCUAUGGCCCAAAUAUUAACAAGAAUUUGUGCACCCUUCGGGACAAUGUAGCCCCCGAUUUCUACAUCUGUUUCAGCUUUUCGUGGCAGUAGCAUUGGAAUCACCGGGCGCAGGCGGAAAGUUUCCUUGAUUACUGCUUGUAAGUAAGGGAGUCUAGCAAUGUCGGAUUCCUCAAUUGAUUUUCCUUUUCCAAUCAUUUGGUCCAGCUCUUCUUUAGCUUUAGAAAGGCACUUUGGGUUGUGUAGUAGCUCCGCCAUUGCCCAUUCUAAUGUGGCUGAAGUUGUUUCUGUACCCGCAACAAAUAGAGCCUACUAUGCACAGUGAGUCAGUGACUAAUUGUUUAGAAAGUAACUCUACACUCUGCAGUCUGCACUGCACUAUGAAUCGUUAUUUAUUUGAUUGAAUACCUCAUACUUAAGAGAGCAAAAAGUCAGUAAUUAAAACAUUAUUGAAGUGAGUAUUCAAGAGAACAGGAAGAGUAGAUAGAGAGUAAAGAGGAGACUAACCAUAAACAAAUGUUCAAUAACUUUGGGGAUGUUCAAAUCCUCCUCAUUUUCCUCUUCUCUGAGGUCUAUAAGAGUAUCCAACAUAUCAUUACUUGCAACAUAAUCAUCCCCUUUUCUAAAUUCCAAUCUUUGUCUGAUCACUGAUUCAAAUAAGCCUGAUAUCGUGUUGUAGUGAUUAGUAAAGCGCCGCCUUCUGCCUUGGGGAUCAAUCUUCUUAAGCACGGGAAAACAGUCCCCUAAAUUUGGUUGCCCAGCCUCGUCUUUCAAACUAGUGACAAACUUAUUGAACUCUUUAGUCAACUCGCUGCUGCUACUCGAGUCAUCAUCAGCCAAAUCCACUGAGAGAAUAGUUCUUGACAGCAAAUCAAGUGAAGUUUUGAAAGCAGCCUUUCCUAUAUCUACUGUCAAACCCUUUACCAUGCUGUCAUUGACACUAGCUAUGAGCUCUUGCACUUUCGCUCUCCGGUUUUCUUUGUUUGCAUCAAGAACUCUUGUGGCAAAGAGUUGGGAGGUGCAUAUUUUCCGAAGAUUUCUCCACCUUGGUGAUACUGGCAUCCACGGCACGCUGUCUUCCAUUGCUCGAAGCGCAUCUGGGAUUGUUCUGUUGCAAAACAAUUGGUCAUGGAUUCGGAGGAUUUCUUUGGCCAUGGUUGGUGAAGAAACUACUAUAGUGGUUAUCUGGCCUAGUUUCAAAGACAUAAUGGAGCCAUGGUGUUGUGAGAGCUUGGUCAAAGAGAUAUGAGGUUUGUCUCCAAGAUCAAAGAGAUUUCCAACCAAUGGAAAUGGCUUUGGUCCUGGUGGAAGCCUAACUCUGGUUCUUCUAUGGAGGGCUUGGAU